GGGAAUGUAGUUCAGUGGCAGAGCACUUGCCUAGUAUGCAUGAGGCCCUGGGUCCAACUCCCAGUACUA
rnacentral:tRNA from 1 species